AUAAAUAUAGAGGAGGAGAGUGUUGCCAAAAGUCACGUGGCUGUGCAAACUUUUUUUUCUUUUUCAAUUAAUGUAUUUGCAGCUGUUUAGGAGCCAUACAAAAUCGGUACGAUAUUUCUUUUUCUAUUUUUAAUAUUGAGCGUGUGCGUUCGAUGAUAAACAACUUUUAUCAUAUUUGGUGGUUGUGUCUAAACCAUAGAAAAUGGCGCAUGACCAGAGAGAAAAGAGUGAGCGCAACUCAAACCGGCCAGUUCUCGAUCGGCUGUUUUCAGGCGGAAAGAAAACGAAUUUCGAGCCACAAGUUGUGUUCUGGGUAGUUAAGAUCUCGUGUGUCAUGUACAAAUAAAAACCUCGGUGAGUAUAAAUACCUUGUCAGCGACCCUUUAAUAGGUCCUAAACCUGUCCAAGCCUCUACUGUCAGGCAGAAAAUCCUCCUGUGGACUGGCGGGUAGCAAAGCAGGAAAAGGGGGGACCCAAAGAAGACAACACGGGUGUGUUGUCUUCUUGCAGUUCUCUGCCCGAAGCGGAGGGGGUGAAGUGAGGGAGGAGGACACGACAGGCUCAUUCGCGCCGCUUCAUCAAUUUGGAAGGGGGUAACAAAGAGUUGGAUGCAGACACCGAAGGUCCACACUCGACGUGUGGAGAAAGACUGGCUUCAAGAGUAAAUGCGUGACAGGGCCCGACGUACUGGUUAUGAAGCUGAACUUAGAAGCCAACGCAUGUACAAAAGGGGCUCCGCGUGGCAAGCCGAAGUCAGCCUCGCCUCAGCGUGCAGUCCUGCUGUUACACCGCCAUCGACGCCCGCAAUGCUCUAAUGUUAUCUUCUGUUCCCAUUUUG